UGUUUGGAAGGGAUUAGUUAGGGAAAAAUAACUUCUUUUAAAUUUUAAAUUUCUGUUUGGUUCUAGAUGCAGCUUCAUAGUUAGGAGACAUGAAAAGCAUCUGAGGGAGCUAUAAACAAAUCCUGGAUCUCAACAAGAUUCCUGGCAAUCAAUCAGAGUUUUCACUGAUGUAUCAGGAGAUUGAACAUCACAAACCAGUUCAGGAUAGGUGCUGUUUCUAUGUCUGGAUGAGCUCCUGUGCAAGGCAUUUGGUGUCUUGGUCAUCAGAAAGUUGGGAAAAAAAGCAUGUAUUUCUUUGUGAGCAGGCUUCAGUGAAGCAAGUAAAGGAAGAGUACAAUGAGGUUAUACAUGCACAAGAGAGGAUUUUAAAAUUUCUUCAACACAUGAAAAAUCACUCCCAACUUAGUUAUUUUAGGUAAGUGUAUUCGUUAUGCUGAAGGAUGAGGAACACCACAAAUCUUGCCCCACCCAGAAGAGGAGCAAGACAUGAGAGACUUUUCAAUAGUUAGAAGUGCCUCCUUCUCAGAAACAAGAUUCUAAUCUUGGAUAUUCUCUCAGCAGAGAGGCAGCUGCUCACCCCAAUUGCAGGUGACUUUAUUGAAUGAUCCAGUGCCUUCUUAUCCCACAUUCACAGCUGGGUGAUUGUGUGAUUUUUGAUGGAGGGGAAUAAAAAGAUCACAAUUACUGAAGGUACA
rnacentral:lncRNA from 1 species